AUUUAAUAAAAAAAAUAAAUAAGUAAAUUGUAACAAUACAGAGAAAAUUAGCACGGCCCCUGUGCAAGGAUGACACGAAAUUCGUGAAACAUUCCAUAUUUAA